GUAAUACUCAGUCGUCCCACUCUGAAUACAUAGGAGUGGGUUCGCGAUACCCGGUGAAGUGAAACAUCUCAGUAACCGGAGGAAAAGAAAGAGAAUCGAUUCCGUAAGUAGUGGCGAGCGAAAGCGGAAAAGCCCAAACCGGAGCCUUUGGUUCCGGGGUUGUAGGGCUCCAAUAUGAGACUGACGACGCUAGAUUAAGUGUGUGGAAAAGCACUCCAAAGAAGGUGAAAGGCCUGUGAUCGAAAGCUGAGUCAGCUCUAGGAUGUCCCUGAGUAGUGCGGCACACGUGAAACGUUGCAUGAAUCUGCGCCGACCACGGCGUAAGGCUAAAUACUACUUAGCGACCGAUAGUGAACCAGUACCGCGAGGGAAAGGUGAAAAGAACCGCUGUGAGCGGAGUGAAAUAGAACCUGAAACCAUAUGCUUACAAGGUGUCAAAGCCCCUUCGGGGUGAUGGCGUGCCUUUUGCUUAAUGAGUCUGCGAGUUAGUGUUCGUAGCGAGCUUAAGUCCUUCUGGGACGCAGGCGUAGCGAAAGCGAGUCCGAAUAGGGCGAUUUAGUUGCGGGUGCUAGACCCGAAGCGGAGGUGACCUACCUAUGGCCAGGUUGAAGCGUGAGUAAUAUCACGUGGAGGACCGAACCGGUGAACGUUGAAAAGUUCGGGGAUGAGCUGUGGGUAGGAGUGAAAGGCUAAUCAAACCCCGUGAUAGCUGGUUCUCCUCGAAAUGUAUUUAGGUACAGCGUCGUAUGCUGACUGUUGGGGGUAGAGCACUGAAUGAACUAGGGCCCAUACCCGGGUACCGACUUCAACCAAACUCCGAAUACCAACAGGUGUAGUACGGCAGUGAGAUUAUGGGGGAUAAGCUUCAUACUCGAAAGGGAAACAGCCCAGAUCAGCAGCUAAGGUGCCAAAAUACCGCUAAGUGGAAAGGAGGUGGGAUUACUUAGACAGUGAGGAUGUUGGCUUAGAAGCAGCCACCAUUUAAAAAGUGCGUAAUAGCUUACUCAUCGAGUGAUCCUGCGCCUAAAAUGAUUGGCGAUAAGCGGUAUACCGAAGCUCUGGAUGCACAGUUUUCUGUGCGUGGUAGAGGAGCGUUCUCAGAGCCUUGAAGCCGGAUGGUGAUUGAAGGUGGAGUUCUGAGAAGCGAGAAUGCAGACAUGAGUAACGAUAAGAGAGGUGAAAUUCCUCUCCGCCGUAAACCCGAGGUUUCCUGGGCAAUGUUCAUCAUCCCAGGGUUAGUCGGGACCUAAGCCGAGGCCGAUAGGCGUAGGCGAUGGAUAGCAGGUUAAUAUUCCUGCACCUCCUGAACCCAAAGCAUCAGGGACACAGGCUGGAUGACAACUAGGUAAUUGAAUUCCGAGGUGCGGCUACGGCCAAUCCGUAUUGUUUGAAGGACUGUCAAGAAAAGCUGAUGUGUCGUGCUAAAGGAGCCCGUACCGUAAACCAACACAGGUGGGUGGGUAGAAUAUACCAAGGCGCAAGAGUGAAACCUGGUUAAGGAACUCGGCAAAAUAGCCCCGUAACUUCGGAAUAAGGGGUGCCUGCUUCGGCAGGCCGCAGUGAAAUGGAUCAACCGACUGUUUAGCAAAAACACAGCAUUCUGCCAAGACGCAAGUCGAAGUAUAGGAUGUGACACGUGACCAAUGCCGAAAGAUUAAGGCAAGGGGUUAGUCUCCUUCGGGAGGCGAAGCUCUGAACCCAAGUCCCGGUGAAUGUCGGCCGUAACUAUAACGGUCCUAAGGUAGCGAAAUUCCUUGUC
rnacentral:rRNA from 1 species